rnacentral:rRNA from 1 species
GGUUAAGCGACUAAGCGUACACGGUGGAUGCCCUGGCAGUCAGAGGCGAUGAAGGACGUGCUAAUCUGCGAUAAGCGUCGGUGAGGUGAUAUGAACCGUUAUAACCGGCGAUUUCCGAAUGGGGAAACCCAGUGUGUUUCGACACACUAUCAUUAACUGAAUCCAUAGGUUAAUGAGGCGAACCGGGGAACUGAAACAUCUAAGUACCCCGAGGAAAAGAAAUCAACCGAGAUUCCCCAGUAGCGGCGAGCGAACGGGGAGGAGCCCAGAGCCUGAAUCAGUGUGUGUGUUAGUGGAAGCGUCUGGAAAGGCGUGCGAUACAGGGUGACAGCCCCGUACACAAAAAUGCACAUAUUGUGAGCUCGAUGAGUAGGGCGGGACACGUGGUAUCCUGUCUGAAUAUGGGGGGACCAUCCUCCAAGGCUAAAUACUCCUGACUGACCGAUAGUGAACCAGUACCGUGAGGGAAAGGCGAAAAGAACCCCGGCGAGGGGAGUGAAAAAGAACCUGAAACCGUGUACGUACAAGCAGUGGGAGCCUCUUAAUGGGGUGACUGCGUACCUUUUGUAUAAUGGGUCAGCGACUUAUAUUCUGUAGCAAGGUUAACCGAAUAGGGGAGCCGAAGGGAAACCGAGUCUUAACUGGGCGUUAAGUUGCAGGGUAUAGACCCGAAACCCGGUGAUCUAGCCAUGGGCAGGUUGAAGGUUGGGUAACACUAACUGGAGGACCGAACCGACUAAUGUUGAAAAAUUAGCGGAUGACUUGUGGCUGGGGGUGAAAGGCCAAUCAAACCGGGAGAUAGCUGGUUCUCCCCGAAAGCUAUUUAGGUAGCGCCUCGUGAAUUCAUCUCCGGGGUAGAGCACUGUUUCGGCAAGGGGGUCAUCCCGACUUACCAACCCGAUGCAAACUGCGAAUACCGGAGAAUGUUAUCACGGGAGACACACGGCGGGUGCUAACGUCCGUCGUGAAGAGGGAAACAACCCAGACCGCCAGCUAAGGUCCCAAAGUCAUGGUUAAGUGGGAAACGAUGUGGGAAGGCCCAGACAGCCGGGAUGUUGGCUUAGAAGCAGCCAUCAUUUAAAGAAAGCGUAAUAGCUCACUGGUCGAGUCGGCCUGCGCGGAAGAUGUAACGGGGCUAAACCAUGCACCGAAGCUGCGGCAGCGACACUAUGUGUUGUUGGGUAGGGGAGCGUUCUGUAAGCCUGUGAAGGUGUGCUGUGAGGCAUGCUGGAGGUAUCAGAAGUGCGAAUGCUGACAUAAGUAACGAUAAAGCGGGUGAAAAGCCCGCUCGCCGGAAGACCAAGGGUUCCUGUCCAACGUUAAUCGGGGCAGGGUGAGUCGACCCCUAAGGCGAGGCCGAAAGGCGUAGUCGAUGGGAAACAGGUUAAUAUUCCUGUACUUGGUGUUACUGCGAAGGGGGACGGAGAAGGCUAUGUUGGUACGGGCGACGGUUGUCCCGGUUUAAGCGUGUAGGCUGGUUUUCCGGGCAAAUCCGGAAAACCAAGGCUGAGGCGUGAUGACGAGGCACUACGGUGCUGAAGCGACAAAUGCCCUGCUUCCGGGAAAAGCCUCUAAGCAUCAGGUAACAUCAAAUCGUACCCCAAACCGACACAGGUGGUCAGGUAGAGAAUACCAAGGCGCUUGAGAGAACUCGGGUGAAGGAACUAGGCAAAAUGGUGCCGUAACUUCGGGAGAAGGCACGCUGAUAUGUAGGUGAAGCGACUUGCUCGUGGAGCUGAAAUCAGUCGAAGAUACCAGCUGGCUGCAACUGUUUAUUAAAAACACAGCACUGUGCAAACACGAAAGUGGACGUAUACGGUGUGACGCCUGCCCGGUGCCGGAAGGUUAAUUGAUGGGGUUAGCGGUAACGCGAAGCUCUUGAUCGAAGCCCCGGUAAACGGCGUACGUAACUAUAACGGUCCUAAGGUAGCGAAAUUCCUUGUCGGGUAAGUUCCGACCUGCACGAAUGGCGUAAUGAUGGCCGGGCUGUCUCCACCCGAGACUCAGUGAAAUUGAACUCGCUGUGAAGAUGCAGUGUACCCGCGGCAAGACGGAAAGACCCCGUGAACCUUUACUAUAGCUUGACACUGAACAUUGAGCCUUGAUGUGUAGGAUAGGUGGGAGGCUUUGAAGUGUGGACGCCAGUCUGCAUGGAGCCGACCUUGAAAUACCACCCUUUAAUGUUUGAUGUUCUAACGUUGGCCCGUAAUCCGGGUUGCGGACAGUGUCUGGUGGGUAGUUUGACUGGGGCGGUCUCCUCCUAAAGAGUAACGGAGGAGCACGAAGGUUGGCUAAUCUCGGUCGGACAUCAGGAGGUUAGUGCAAUGGCAUAAGCCAGCUUGACUGCGAGCGUGACGGCGCGAGCAGGUGCGAAAGCAGGUCAUAGUGAUCCGGUGGUUCUGAAUGGAAGGGCCAUCGCUCAACGGAUAAAAGGUACUCCGGGGAUAACAGGCUGAUACCGCCCAAGAGUUCAUAUCGACGGCGGUGUUUGGCACCUCGAUGUCGGCUCAUCACAUCCCGGGGCUGAAGUAGGUCCCAAGGGUAUGGCUGUUCGCCAUUUAAAGUGGUACGCGAGCUGGGUUUAGAACGUCGUGAGACAGUUCGGUCCCUAUCUGCCGUGGGCGCUGGAGAACUGAGGGGGCUGCUCCUAGUACGAGAGGACCGGAGUGGACGCAUCACUGGUGUUCGGGUUGUCAUGCCAAUGGCACUGCCCGGUAGCUAAAUGCGGAAGAGAUAAGUGCUGAAAGCAUCUAAGCACGAAACUUGCCCCGAGAUGAGUUCUCCCUGAGACUUAGAGUCUCCUGAAGGAACGUUGAAGACGACGACGUUGAUAGGCCGGGUGUGUAAGCGCAGCGAUGCGUUGAGCUAACCGGUACUAAUGAACCGUGAGGCUUAACCUU